UAGAGAUUGGGAUGGCAUGGACCAUUGUGGCUAAUUAUGUGGCUGUGCAUUGAACCUACAAAGUCAUACAGUAGUCAAUAAUUAGCUUGUGCCUCCAACCCUUCAGUUUGAUGACUUCAGUCCUGUGAGUCCCAUGCCUGUGUCUAAGCCUCCACGGUUGUCUGCAUCAGGAAGCUCCUAUCUGACUUUGCAUUAAUUUCAGUAUUGAAGACAGAGACUGAGGCUUCACUGGGCAGCAGACAUAGCAGGAUCUUUGUGUCUGCUCUCCUUGACUAUGAGCCAGCAGAGAAAGAGUAUCAUCCAGUAAGUGCAGAGGUGUGUUCCAGGUGUGUUAAUAUUAUUUCAUGUUCCCCUAUUUGGCUUUUUUCACAAUUGAAUUGUGGUGUGACCUGAAAAAACACAGGGUCAAAUUUUCUUCCAGGUGCACAAAUGUUGUGAAGCUGGGUAAUUCCAUCCAUACUGCCAACAAGGAGUAACAGCUAAGAGAGAUUCCAAUUUUCUCUAAUGGAACCAAGUGGAAAAUUUUCUUAUGCAAGAUGACAUAUCUUGAUCAGGAAUCAUGCAGGGAUUAUUACUAGACAAACCUUAUUGGUUUUUAUUGAAAAAAAUAUGUGAUCAGUUGUAAAAUUCAGUAUACCUCAGUUGUUGGACUUCAAACGCAGUCUCUACCCACAUACUAUCUGAUAAUUUUCUUUUUUGUGAUGUGAUGAGAAGCAUAAGUAUGUUGAAAGAAUAUUGUCAUAAUAAUGCACUAACAAAUUAUAUCACAUCCUUUUAUCUAAUAAAGCAGUGCAUCAGUGAAAGCAUUUCAAGUGGCUUCACAGAGAGACUUAAAUCUACCUGUGUAUGUAACUACUAUAUUUCAGGGCAAUAGUUGUUGUGUUCUUCACACCUUAAAAGAUCAUGAUGUAAUCUUAAUAUAAAUUAUUUAAAAUUUUUUCAUUAUCAGUAAAUCCAUAGUAAGUAUAUUUUAGGUAUGUGUGAUAGUUAACCAUUGUGUCAGCUUAAGUAAGAAGUGUCCAACUGAUUGGCUUAGCAUAGUUCAUGUUGUGACUGAAUGGACUGAAUGAAAAGUAAAGACCCAUCCUGGGUGUAAGUGGCACUACCCAAUAGCCUCAAUAAAAUUAAAAAAAAGGAAAGAAGAAAGAAGACUCACUCUAUUUUUUGCAGAGGACUGCCAGUCUUUGCCCUUUAUCAAAUCUGUUUUUUAAUGAUCCCUGACUGAUACAGAUUUUGUACCAGGAGUGGCUUCAAAGAAACAAAAUUGUAAUAAUGCAAUUCUUUAAUGGCUUUAGGGAUUCCUGGAGUUGACUCUCGAAUUUGAUGAGACCAAAAGAGGCCAAAGUCUCUCCUUCUGAUAAUGUGCAGAGUACUGAUAGUCCUUGGUGUAAACUCUUUAAAGUGAUAUACCAUGUAGAUUUAUUUGAUUAUCCGAAUUCACCACUUGAGAAAUAUAAAGAAUUUAGUGACUCCAUAUAUGACACUUUAGGAUACAUUUUGCAGCAGUGAGAAAUAUAAUGCUGUUGUCUGGUUGGUUAUCAUCUCUGAAUAAACUCAUGGAGGAAAAUAAUGGAUGCAAAACAUGCAUAGAAAAUCUCAACUCUUCUAAAUGUGAGAACAAAUUAAUGAAGAAAAAUAAAGAAGUCAAAGAUUCAAAUUCACAGCUCCAUAUGCACAUAAAGACUCUAAAAGUUUCUAAGUGUGUCCUAGAAAAGACUAUUCCUUCCUUUAGCCACAGGGCUGAGAUUGCAGAAAUCCAAACACAGACCCUCAUAAUUCAAUUGACUGAACUACAGCAAAAUUUAACACUCAGCCUCAAAGAUUAUCUGAAGUAAAUGUGAAGACAAUAAUGUGAAAAGAAUGGGAUCCCAUAAAUUGGGGUGGAGAUGUUUCGGAGCAUCCUGGGGAGGCUGGGACAUUGAGCUCUCAGUUUCUAGUGAGGUUGUUAUUGCAGAGGAAGAGAUUUCAUCACCCACGGUGGUGGAGGCAAAUUUGUCCUCCAUUCCAGACAUUCUCUCUUCACAUUGGUCAUUUCUGUAAUUUGUGAAUUGCAUACAGUUUUUUAUUUCAUGUAUUUCUGUCUGAUAUAAUCUCAGAGAUUCUAUCUUUGAUGAAUUUGUCAUUAUUGUUUUGAUCUGAUUUGGUCAGCUCUUCCAUUUUUUACUUAUUUCCCCCAUAUACACUUUGGGCACUUGAGUAAUAGUUUUGUGAACUUUUAGUUCAUUUCCUCUUUAAACACAUCUAGUUUUUUAAUCUCUUCUAUAAACUUUUUUGUAGCAUCCCACUAUCUGAUAUUUGCCUUUCUGUCCAUUUGUGCCCCCUGAUCUACCUUAGGAGAGUUGGGAGAUCUUGAGGGUCUUUUGUUGCCUUGGUUUCUCAUGUUCCUAUGUAUGUGUGUAUCCAUUUUGUUUCAUUUAUGACCAACCCAGAAAUACACAUAUUGGCACAGAGAAAAAUCCACUUGUCAGCCACUAUUAUGUUACCUUGGUUAUAGUAGAAAUUUCAGUGGCAACAAUGGCAUCAUAUGUCGAUUGGAUAUUGACAAACCCUAGGAAAUACUUAUGAACAUCCCAUAAGCAGAACAAAGAGCACUGUAAUUUUAGUGAAGACAAUCAGACCACCAAUAUAUUGUUCUAUACUACUUCAGACCACUAAUUUUUGUUGGAUGUGGGCAGCAGUGCCAGAGCUCAAACAUACCACUAGAUUUGGUGCCUUUUCUUUCAUGAUUAUCUCCUCUGCCAAUUUCACCUUAGAGCAAAAUAAGGAUCACCUGGGAUCCCCUGCAACAUGUGGAAUCAGACUACCAAGAUCACACAACCUGUAUACUGUAUACUGUAUACUGUUACCAAAAUGGUAAAUUGUGUAGUAGUCAGAGAAGCCUCAAAAAAUAAGAGAACAAGAAAAGACCAUCCAGCACCUACGAGAUGACACUAAAAUGACCAGUCUACAUCUAAGUGGAGUUAUAGAAAA